GUUAAGUAACUAAUGUGUUUAUAAGUGUACACAGGCUCUAUAAGUUGUUGAGGAGUUUGAGUUAUACGAUGAAUAUCGACCCCUAAAAAUGUAUAUCUUCGGCUAAAGAAAUUGGUCUUAUGCUGAAGAUUUUGAUCGCGAAGAUAUUGCGAUGAAAUUUAUAUUCCUCAUAAAGAUAUUGAAGAUGAGGAAUUCGGUGUGUCCUGAAGAAAAUCAAUCUGAAGCCUUUGAAGCUUGAAGAUUUAUUCCUUAUGCUUCAUUUUCUUCACUCUUGAGUCAUAGGAACACCAUACUGUUAAUGGGGGUCGAGGUAAUACUAUGGAAUGAAUUUCCUCAUGAUGCUCAACCCAAGCCAAAUCCUACAAAAGCCUCAGUUGUGGAAUAUGAAAGACAUGAGGACUCUCACAGUUGAGGGUCCCGACUGUUGUCGCGAUUCGCGCCACCUGACCGAUCUUAUCCACACCAACGGUCAUAAUAUUUAAGGGUGUUUAUGUCAAAUCAUGUCAGGAUGCACCCAGGCUAUAAAUAGCCGCCCCCACAACCAUUAGUUGGUUGGCUGCUCCGCGAGAAACUGACACUUGUCAUUUAGAGCAACCCAAAUUCCUUAGAGUCUUCGAGAGUAAAUCAUCAGUGAGGAAAUACCC
rnacentral:lncRNA from 1 species